rnacentral:rRNA from 1 species
ACGCUCGACACCUACGGAAGGCAGCAGUGGGGGAUAUUGCGCAAUGGGGGAAACCCUGACGCAGCAACGCCGCGUGAAGGACGAAGGUUUUCGGAUUGUAAACUUCUUUUGUUAGGGACGAAGAAAUGACGGUACCUGACGAAUAAGCUCCGGCUAACUACGUGCCAGCAGCCGCGGUAAUCUGAGCGGGCUGGCAAGGC